CUCAAGACAGUCACUGGACAAUGGCUGACACACUUGUCUGAAGACUGGAAAUGUUUCUCGAUCUUGGAGAGGAAAGAAGGACCCUCCAACUACACUGUCCUCUAAGGCAGUUUAUUCAGCUGCUGAGCAUUGACAAGCCCAAAUGAGACAGCAUCUGUGUGCAGACAUACUGGAUUAUUCUUCUUCACUUUAUGUCUCCGAGUUACCUCCACUGACAGGCAGGCUGGAUGACGACACUCAGCUGACAAUGUGGACAUCUCAAGACAGUCACUGGACAAUGGCUGACACACUUGUCUGGAGACUGGAAAUGUUUCUCGAUCUUGGAGAGGAAAGAAGGACCCUCCAACUACACUGUCCUCUAAGGAAGUUUAUUCAGGUGAGG
ensembl:lncRNA